UACGGGGGGGGCAAGCGUUGUUCGGAAUUACUGGGCGUAAAGCGCGCGUAGGCGGACCUGCAAGUCGGGGGGUGAAAGCCCGAGGCUCAACCUCGGAACUGCCUUCGAUACUGCGGGUCUCGAGUCCGGGAGAGGUGAGUGGAAUUCCUAGUGUAGAGGUGAAAUUCGUAGAUAUUAGGAAGAACACCAGUGGCGGAAGGCGGCUCACUGGCCCGGUACUGACGCUGAGGCGCGAAAGCGGUGGGGAGCAAACAGG
rnacentral:rRNA from 1 species